rnacentral:lncRNA from 1 species
AGAGAAAGCAAGUAGUCUGAGACCAGAGAGGAAGGGAAGAUGUAAAGAUAGAUGUGAUAAGAACCCAGGGACAGUGGGAGGCACACUCCGUGCUGUAACCAAGGGCAGACGCAGAGCUUAGUGCUGUAGGAACUUCCUGCUGGGGGCGCUGGUUGAAGCGCUUGGGAGAACAGCUCUGUCCUCCAUCUGUCUUAGGCUGGCUGUUGGCCUGGCAUUAGAACAGGGGCUGCUGCCUUCCCGCCUCUGUGUUUCCUUCCUCUUUGAGUUGAACAUAAGUGUUUUGGGGAGAAAAAUCCAUUUCCUCUGCAGGAAAUUGUGGCCACACAACUCUGUUCUUGCCGAUAGGAUUUUAGCAUCGGUGUGACCGAGUCCUGCGCGAUAAAUGUGAGCAUGAAUGUCAUGUCAGAGUUCCAGGAAGGCCAAUUAAAGGGAUUUCCUCGGUUGCCAUACCUCUUUAAAGCCCAUCUGCUGUUAAGACCGAAAUUUGGAUGAAAUGGCUGGAGUUGUAGGAGAUAGGGGAAUGCCAGGGCCAGGAAGCAA